rnacentral:rRNA from 1 species
UCUAUGGCCAUACCACCUUGAAUGCGCCCGAUCUCUUCUGAUCUUGGAAGCUAAGCAGGGUCGGGCCUGGUUAGUACUUGGAUUGGAGA